rnacentral:piRNA from 1 species
UCUCGAUGACUUUAUCCGCAAUUGCCGA